rnacentral:rRNA from 1 species
AGCAGCCGCGGUAAUUCCAGCUCCAAUAGCGUAUAUUAAAGUUGCUGCAGGUAAAAAGCUCGUAGUUGAAUUUCGGGACUAAUAUGUCGGUCGUGCCUCGGUACGUACUGGCAUUGUUGGUUUCUCCCUUCUGACGAACCAUGAUGUCAUUUAUUUGGUGUCGUGGGAAAUCAGGACUGUUACUUUGAAAAAAUUAGAGUGUUUAAAGCAGGCUCACGCUUGAAUACAUUAGCAUGGAAUAAUGAAAUAGGACGUUUGAUUCUAUUUUGUUGGUUUCUAGGAUCGACGUAAUGAUUAAUAGGGAUAGUUGGGGGCAUUAGUAUUCAACUGUCAGAGGUGAAAUUCUUGGAUUUAUUGAAGACUAACUACUGCGAAAGCAUUUGCCAAGGAUGUUUUCAUUAAUCAAGAACGAAAGUUAGGGGAUCGAAGACGAUCAGAUACCGUCGU